rnacentral:rRNA from 1 species
UACGGGGGGGGCAAGCGUUGUUCGGAAUUAUUGGGCGUAAAGGGCGCGUAGGCGGCGUUUCAAGUGACGGGUGAAAUCCCUCGGCUUAACCGAGGAACUGCCUGUCAGACUGGAAGGCUUGAGACCGGGAGAGGUGAGUGGAAUUCCCAGUGUAGCGGUGAAAUGCGUAGAUAUUGGGAGGAACACCAGUGGCGAAGGCGGCUCACUGGACCGGUACUGACGCUGAGGCGCGAAAGCGUGGGGAGCAAACAGG